rnacentral:lncRNA from 1 species
GACCCUAAGAGAAAAAUGCAUGAUCCCCCAAAGAAGGAGAAGUUUAAAGCUUUAGAUCUUGGAGGAUAUCAGUCAUGUGUUAGAAGAUAAAGCGAUUGGACAGAACUCUCAAGACAGCUCAUGAGUCGUUUCUCUUCCUUUUAUCCUGAGUAUAUGGUUCUCCUGGGAUCUGGCAUUCCUUGAAGUUCAAUGGUUAUAGAAACAAGAUGACCCCAACCAUUUCUACCAGGUAUUCCUCAUCAGACUUACCUGUUCAGUAUCAGAAAGUAUUAUUCAAGAUGCUAAUGGAAGAAGGCAAUUAGUAGUCCUACCCAGCAGUGACACCUAUGAACCACAACAAUGGCAGGACAUCUGCAAAAGUGCAGUAGAGGCACUCACGUUUGGUAGUAAUCAACAGCAGUCUCAUUGUACUUGACAACUACUUGGCAGGUGGGAAACCUUCCUGGUCCUGAAGACCUAGCCAGCUUCCCAUGGCUAUUGAGGUCCUGAAUCCUAAGAAAAAGUCUACUGCUGCCAUUUUGCUAGGUCAAUAUAAUUCCUAGCUACACUCUAAAUAUUACUCAUAUAGACAGAUGUUAUCUAUCACCCUUCUCAUCAAAGAAGCUUCUCUUUACAGCAAAUGACAAGCAUUACAGAAAAUCACAACAGAGACAAUGCAGAGAUCAAUGAAUCACAGUGACCCUAGCCCUCAAUAAAUUUAUCUACAUCACAGCUUCUGCAUUCAUGGCUCAGGGAACAUCAGAGAAGAGGAAGUGAAAAUGUUAUGAGAGCCAGAAUAUGAGGAGUCCAGCUGUAAGACUGUGUCUCCCAGAAAUGGCCGCAUAAAUAGGACUUGAGUAGUCACAAUAGCAAUACAUAUGCUAACAGGGAAGGGGAAUUUUUAUGGUUUCCUACCCCUACACAAAGAUGUACAGGCAACUAAUGAGUGUGGAGAGAGGGAGAAUCAGCACUUUCAGGCAUGAACAUCCUAAUUGGCUAUCCAAUGCAAAGUGGGCAGCCCCCAAACCACAUGCACUCUCUAACAACAAAAAUGGACUCAGUAAGCUUUAUUUAUAUGUUGGUGCAUAUAUGUAACAAGAAUAAAGGAAAAGACUUUCAAUUUAGAAGUGGGUGGGGCAAAAGUGAGUUGGAAGGGGAACAUGAGAAGGUAUAAAUGGAAGAAAGGGAAGAAGUGGCAUAAGUAUAUUCUCAUUUAAAAUGUACUUUAAAGUAGUUGGAAUUAAAUGGAGAGUUCAACUGGGGAUCUUGCAGUCUUUUGAUGGCUGCCACAGACACCAAAUGCUUCCAUUCUUUUGCUCAUUAACUUCUGGACACCUUUGAAUGCUCUUGCCAUGACCUUGUUUUGCUU